rnacentral:tRNA from 1 species
GCCGAGAUGGCGGAAUGGUAGACGCUGCGGACUUAAAAUCCGUUGCCUUCAUAGGCGUGAGGGUUCGAGUCCCUCUCUCGGCACCA